GAUGAACGCUGGCGGCGUGCCUAAUACAUGCGAGUCGAGCGAACAGACGAGGAGCUUGCUCCUCUGACGUUAGCGGCGGACGGGUGAGUAACACGUGGAUAACCUACCUAUAAGACGGGGAUAACUUCGGGAAACCGGAGCUAAUACCGGAUAAUAUAUUGAACCGCAUGGUUCAAUAGUGAAAGACGGUUUUGCUGUCACUUAUAGAUGGAUCCGCGCCGCAUUAGCUAGUUGGGAAGGUAACGGGUUACCAAGGCGACGAUGCGUAGCCGACCUGAGGGGGUGAUCGGCCACCCUGGAAGUGAGACACGGUCCAGACUCCUAAGGGAGGGCGCAGUAGGGAAUGUUCCGCAAUGGGCGAAAGCCUGACGGAGCAACGCCGCGUGAGUGAUGAAGGUCUUCGGAUCGUAAAACUCUGUUAUUAGGGAAGAACAAAUGUGUACGUAACUAUGCACGUCUUGACGGUACCUAAUCAGAAAGCAACGGCUAACUACGUG
rnacentral:rRNA from 1 species